rnacentral:rRNA from 1 species
GCGUGGUGCACGGCUCGGUUCCCGCGUCGAUGAAGGACGUAGCGAGAUACGAAAGGUGUUGCGAAUUGCAAGAUUUCGCGAGUCAAUGACCAUCCGAAUGCAUCGCCGCCCUCCUCUCGCCUUCGGGCGGAGGGAGGACGCGUCGGCG